rnacentral:rRNA from 1 species
UAGUCCACGCCGUAAACGAUGGAUACUAGGUGUUCGGAGUAAUUAACCCUCUGAGUACCGCAGCUUAUGCAUUAAGUAUCCCGCCUGGGGAGUACGGUCGCAAGGCUAAAACUCAAAGGAAUUGACGGGGGCCCGCACAAGCGGUGGAGUAUGUGGUUUAAUUCGAAGCAACGCGCAGAACCUUACCUGGGCUUAACAUCCAGUGCAAACCUCAGAGAUGAGGUGUUCUCUUCGGAGACGCUGUGAUAGGUGCUGCAUGGCUGUCGUCAGCUCGUGUCGUAGGAUGUUGGGUUAAGUCCCGCAACGAGCGCAACCCUUACCCUUAGUUACCAGCAUUAAGUUGGGGACUCUAGGGGGACUGCCGGUGUCAAACCGGAGGAAGGCGGGGAUGAUGUCAAGUCCUCAUGGCCCUUACGCCCAGGGCUACACACGUACUACAAUGGCAGAAAUAAACCGUCGCGAAGCAGUGAUGUGGAGCUAAUCGGAAAAACACUGUCUCAGUUCGGAUUGAAGUCUGC